rnacentral:sRNA from 1 species
GCCAGGUGUGGUGGCGCACGCCUGUAAUCCCAGUGGCUCAACAGGCUGAGACAGGAGGAUUUGCAAGUUCAAAGCCAGCCUCAGCAAAAAGCAAGGUGCUCAGCAACUCAGUGAGAUCCUGUCUCUA